rnacentral:rRNA from 1 species
UACGAAGGGGGCUAGCGUUGCUCGGAAUCACUGGGCGUAAAGGGUGCGUAGGCGGGUCUUUAAGUCAGGGGUGAAAUCCUGGAGCUCAACUCCAGAACUGCCUUUGAUACUGGCGAUCUCGAGUCCGGGAGAGGUGAGUGGAACUGCGAGUAUAGAGGUGAAAUUCGUAGAUAUUCGCAAGAACACCAGUGGCGAAGGCGGCUCACUGGCCCGGUACUGACGCUGAGGUGCGAAAGCGUGGGGAGCGAACAGG